rnacentral:misc_RNA from 1 species
AACGCACCUUGCGCUCCUUGGUAUUCCUCGGAGCAUGCCUGUUUGAGUAUCAUGAAAUCCUCAAAAUAAAUCUUUUGUUCAUUCGAUUGAUUUUAUUUUGGACUUGGAGGUCUGCAGAUUCACGUCUGCUCCUCUUAAAUGUAUUAGCUGGAUCUCGGUGAACUCGGUUCCACUCGGCGUGAUAAGUAUCACUCGCUGAGGACACUGUAAAAGGUGGCCGGGGUUGCAGACGAACCGCUUCUAAUCGUCCAUUGACUUGGACAAUUUAUUUAUGAUCUGAUCUCAAAUCAGGUAGGACUACCCGCUGAACUUAA